rnacentral:rRNA from 1 species
ACGGGAGGCAGCAGUGGGGAAUAUUGCACAAUGGGGGAAACCCUGAUGCAGCGACGCCGCGUGAGUGAAGAAGUAUUUCGGUAUGUAAAGCUCUAUCAGCAGGGAAGAAAAUGACGGUACCUGACUAAGAAGCCCCGGCUAACUACGUGCCAGCAGCCGCGGUAAUACGUAGGGGGCAAGCGUUAUCCGGAUUUACUGGGUGUAAAGGGAGCGUAGACGGCUAUGCAAGUCUGAUGUGAAAGCCCGGGGCUCGACCCCGGCACUGCAUUGGAAACUGUAGAGCUAGAGUGCAGGAGAGGUAAGUGGAAUUCCUAGUGUAGCGGUGAAAUGCGUAGAUAUUAGGAGGAACACCAGUGGCGAAGGCGGCUUACUGGACUGUAACUGACGUUGAGGCUCGAAAGCGUGGGGAGCAAACAGGAUUAGAUACCCUGGUA